UUUUGCGAUCUCAACCGAAAGACCGCCCCAUUUAGUCGCCUCUUACGACAAGCAAGGGGAAGUGGGGACUUAUUCGAACCCGGAUCCCAUAUAGUUUUACGCUAAAUAUUUAAAUAUAAUUCAUUUUUACUCUAGAAGUACUUUGGACCUAAACUCUAUUAUGGAUAUAGCAGAACAGUUUUAUAGUUAUGAAAACAACUAUCUGUGCACUUCGCACCCUAUGAGAUUACAACGAAAAAGAAGCAAUCAACAGUUGUGAUCGAGAAGAGAGAAGGAGAAAAUUUCAAGUGUGAGAUUGUAUUUGAUGAGACUGAUAUGACAAUGGUACCAGAGCCAACUGUCAAACAGCACUCCAGCCAGCAACAUUUUCCUCUUGUAUUUUUUGACUUGGAAUCAACAGGAUUAACUAGAGAUUCUCAUAUUACACAGCUGUCGUGUGUGGUGAAGAAAAAUGUUCCACCUAUACCUUUCCAAAAAUACCUAUCACAGUAAAAGCCUCAGAAAUCACAGGAAUCGAAAUUGUCAAUGGAAAUAUGUUUAACAAAAAUAUAGAAGUCAAGCCUUUCAGCAGGAAUGGAUGCUCUGCUUAAUUUUGUUUCAAAAUUUUAAACUAAAGUAAUUCUGCAUUUACAAUGGCAGUGUAUGAAUGUCAACAAUAUACAGAAUGUUUAUUGUAUACUAUACCCAAUUUAACAUUUUCUGUUUAUGAGAGAGAGAGAGAGAGAGAGAGAGAGAGAGAGAGAGAGAGAGAGAGAGAGAGUUGCAAGAAUUGGAAAGUAACUGCAAAAAUCAUGUGCAAAUUGCAUCAGUAUUGAUGUGAACGGUGGUGAAUUUGUUCUCUGAAUUUUGAUACAUUUAAUGUACCAAAUGAAAUUAUCCUAAUAA